CGGUGUAGAGACACUGGGGUGAAGAUGUGGAUGGUUGUUAGAGAACAACUUGCACUGAGCAUGACCAACACAAGAACCACAUAGAUGUCUACUCACUCGUCAGUGAUCUUCUCCAUGCUGUAGUGGUGUGUGUUCUUUUGACCUGUGGUGUCAUUACUAUUCGUAGUGAGGCUACUGGGUUUGACUGCACGUUUCUUUGGUCUCUAGCCAUUCGGAUCCUUGUUGUGUAUGUUGGCUUUAGUAGGUUUAAAUUCACUGUUUUGGUGUAAGAUGUACCUAGAUAGGAUCUAUCGAUCUUGAUAGAAAAGGAGAAAUCC
rnacentral:lncRNA from 1 species